CUAAGGGGAAGACCAGCAAGCAAACUAAAAAACAAACCUUAGAUGCACCUAUUGGAGUCAAGUUUCGCUCACGCUCUCGUAAAAGGGUGUAUGCUACUGCCACACCUACUACAGGUCCAUCAUCCAACAAAAGCAUUUCCCAGCCUGAUUCAAGUCUUGCACCAAAUGACAUCCAUGUGCCACCUACAUCAAACCCUGCUGUCAGUGAACCUGUCAAACCUGCUGAUCAAUGCUAGUUGUACUAUCAUGUUUCUCCUUAUAUGACCAUUGAUUUCCCAAAGAAUGCACUCUUACUUUCUGCUAUUUUGUAGAUGAUGGACCAAAUGCCAUUUUCCAAACUGAUGGGCACAACAACUUGGCCACCCAAGAUGGUUUUGACUUGCAUGAUGACAACAUCAACAUUGCUGCUGGAGCUGAUGUCAUUGCCCCACCUGAUGGUGACAACCAAAUAACCAAUGAAGGAGGACAGGAGCUAUGGAACCGAGGAGUAAAUAUGGGACAUGGUCUCAACAGGAUAAACAGAUCUCAUCGGGGCAAGCUGCCAAUUGUCAUAGAGGAAGGGCAAAUCAGGCCUUUUGUUCCUUUUAUUGCUGCAAAGUAUGCAACUGAAAUCAACAUUACAGUUAGGAACCAUGUGCCUGUGCUCACGCACUGGAAGCUGUACAAGGAACGACGUGCGGAAAUUGAGACUUUUUUUAGAAUACUUCGUGUACAUACAUUCUCCAAGGCCUUACCCUUAUUUAGAUGCAAUAACAACUUUUGCUUUGUGUAGUGUACUAUGUGUAACUCUGGUAGUAUUUUCUAUAGUUUUAUAAUCUAGAAGCAACCCUUUGAUUAAAAAUCUAAGUUUUAACUCUUUUGAACCAUGCCCGCAUACUUUGUAUAUGAAAAUAUGCAUUAUUCUUAUCAUUAACAGAUUCUGUACAUCAUUUUUUUGCCAUUCUACUAUUACAAAUUUGAUUUGCUCCUUCCAAAUUUUUUUUCUAUAGGAUCUGGUCAUAUAUGCCUUGAAAGCUAUUCAUUUAUUACAUAUUAAAUUUCUUAUAUAUGUUCUUCCAUCUAAAUAGGCAAAGUUCAACAUUGACACAAAUGAUGCUGUGGUUAAAAAUGGUUGCCUUGAAAUGAUGAAGAAUGCAGUUCGCCAACAGCGACACAACUUGAAGAAAGAAUUUUUGAUCCUUUUCCGCUGCAUUUGGUUCCAAAGACUUCUCCUGUGAAAUCAACAAGUAAUGCUGAAUGGAUUGCCCUUGUGGAAAUGUGGAAGAAUCCUUAAAAAAUUGUAUUUCUCCCUAUAACUCUACUCUUCCCUUGAACAUGAUACAUUGCUACAUAUGUAACAACAUAUAUUCUGUGUAUGAUGUAGAAGGCAUGUCAAAAGAACAAAGAAAACCGAGGCAAUGUUUUGUUACAUCAAGCAACCGGCUCUCGUAGCUACCCGGUUUUUGUAGAAAAUCUGGAAAAUGAGCAUGAGGAUGAGGAUAAAGAACAUGAUGCGCUUGAUUUGUUCCAAAUGUGCCACUUAAGCAAGAAAAAGGGCUACACACCUGCUGUACAAUCAAUUAUUACUGAAAUUAAAACCCAACUGGCUGCACAACCAACAGAAGGUGAACAACCCAACGUUGUGGUUCAGGUUAUAGCUAAUGUUCUUGAGCGCAACAACAAGAAGAGUUCGUUCCUUCAUAAUGUGGGGAUGCAGACUAAGCGACCAAGGAUUAGUGAACAACUGGAAGCGGAGAAGAGAGAAAAUGCUGAGCUUCGAUUGAUUGUCAAUAACCAGCGUGAACAAAUGGAGGGCUUGAAAAAGAAACAAGCUGAGUUGGAGGCUAAACUUGACCUUGCUCUGGGUCAAAUUCGACCAUGCUGAUAG